UGGGGAAUAUUCUGCAAUGGGCGAAAGCCUGACAGAGCAAUACCGCGUGAAGGAAGAAGGCCUUGGGGUUGUAAACUUCUUUUCUCAAUAAAGAAGAUCUGACGGUAGUUGAGGAAUAAGCAUCGGCCAACUCUGUGCCAGCAGCCGCGGUUAGACAGAGGAUGCGAGUGUUAUCCGGAAUUAUUGGGCGUAAAGCGUCUGUAGGUGGGUUUUUUAGUCUUUUGUUAAAUCUUUAGGCUUAACCUAAAAUCUGCAUAAGAAACUAUUAAUCUAGAAUAAAGUUGAGGUAAAGGGAAUUUUCAGUGGAGCGGUAAAAUGCGUAGAUAUUGAAAGGAACACCAAGAGCGAAGGCACUUUACUGGGCUAAUAUUGACACUCAGAGACGAAAGCUAGGGGAGCAAACAGG
rnacentral:rRNA from 1 species